UCAAGCUACUAAGGGCGUACGGUGGAUGCCUUGGCGCCAGACGGCGAAGAAGGACGUGGUUACCUGCGAAAAGCCUCGGCUAGGGGGAAACACCCUUUGAUCCGGGGAUCUCCGAAUGGGGAAACCCUUCCCGGCAAAACCGGGAAACGGCCCGCUGAAUCCAUAGGCGGGUGCGAGCCAACCCAGGGAAGUGAACCAUCUCAGUACCUGGAGGAAGAGAAAGCAACAGCGAUUCCGCUAGUAGCGGCGAGCGAACGCGGAACAGCCCAAACUCAGCCUUCCUUUGAGAUUUCAGAAUUGAAAUUUGAGAUCUCAGAGGAGGGCUGGGGGUUGUAGGGCGCGCGUCGGUGUAGAACCGAAGAGUUACCAAUCCGGCGGCUAUCCGAACGACUUGGAAAAGUCGGCCAGAGGAUGUGAUAGCCAUGUAGGAGAAAGCUGACCGGACUCUUACGCGCGUUCCUGAGUACCGCGGGGCACGAGAAACCCUGCGGGAAUCCACGGGGACCAUCCCGUAAGGCUAAAUACGUGCUGGCGACCGAUAGCGAACUAGUACCGUGAGGGAAAGGUGAAAAGCACCCCUGCGAGGGGAGUUAAAAGUACCUGAAACCGUAUGCCUACAAGCAGUCGAAGGGUUACGUCCGGGUGGCAACAUCCGGGCAAGCCUGACGGCGUGCCUAUUGCAUAAUGAGCCGGCUAGUUAUUGUCCGUUGCGAGGCUAAGCGACGAUCUUGCGGUUGCGACCGCGAGGGAGCGAGCCGUAGCGAAAGCGAGUCUGAAUAGGGCGACCAGUAGCGGGCAAUAGACGCGAAGCGGGAUGAUCUACCCUUGGUCAGGGUGAAAGCCGCGUAACAGCGGCCGGAGGCCCGAACCGGUGUUGGUUGAAAACAGCUCGGAUGAACUGAGGGUAGGGGUGAAAGGCUAAUCAAAUUCCGUGAUAGCUCGUUCUCCCCGAAAUAGCUUUAGGGCUAGCCUCGGAUGGUCGCUCGCGGUGAUAGAGAACUAGAUGGACUAGGGUCCUUUAACGGAUUCCGAAUCCAACUAAACUCCGAAUGCCGCGAAGCGCAGUCCGGGAGUCAGACAGUGGGGGCUAAGCUUCAUUGUCGAGAGGGAAAUAGCCCAGACCGCCAGCUAAGGUCCCGAAGCGAUGGCUAAGUGGGGAAGGAAGUGAAGUCGCUCAGACAGCCAGGAGGUUGGCUUAGAAGCAGCCAUCCUUUAAAGAAAGCGUAACAGCUCACUGGUCGAGUGACUUCGCGCCGAUAAUUCAACGGGGCUCAAGCCAUCUACCGAAGCUGCGGAUUUCGCGGGUUGCCACUGGGGCCACGGGGACAAUCACAAGUUGGAGGUUAUCUCAACAGGUGGUAUCUCGGUGGUUCAAGUGGUGGCCCGCGGGGUGGUAGGGGAGCGUAGAGUACAGUUUGAAGCGGGACCGCGAGGGCCCGUUGACGGUACUCCAGUGACCCUGCCGGCAUAAGUAGCGAUAACGGAGGUGGGAACCCUCCGCGCCGAAAGUCUAAGGUUUCCUGAGAAAGGUUAAUCCGCUCAGGGUCAGUCGGUCCCUAAGGUGAGGCCGAAAGGCGUAGCUGAUGGACAGCCGGUUAAUAUUCCGGCACUGUGGCGGAGACGUUAUGACGAAGCGGGGACGCAGGAGGAUAGCGGAGUCGAAACCCGCAAGGGCGAUGCGCGCAUCGAGGAGGAUCCGGCAGGCAAAUCCACCGGGUCGGUUCAAAGCCACUCUGAGGUGUGAGCCGAGGGGCCUCGGCCCCAGUAAGUCCGUGACUUCAUGCUGCCAAGAAAAGCCGCUAAGCAGUCUCCGACGCAACCGUACCCCAAACCGACACAGGUAGACGAGGUGAAUAUCCAAAGGCGCUUGAGAGAACACUCGCUAAGGAACUAGGCAAAUUAACUCCGUAACUUCGGAAGAAGGAGUGCCCCGGUAGGGUUCAUAGCCCGAGGGGGCCGCAGCGAAGCGCGCUCUGCGACUGUUUAACAAAAACACAGGUCUCUGCAAAGUCGAAUACGACGUAUAGGGGCUGACGCCUGCCCGGUGCCGGAAGGUUAAAGGGAGAGGUCAUCCCGUCGCAAGACGGGGGCAGCUUCGAUCUGAAGCCCCGGUGAACGGCGGCCGUAACUAUAACGGUCCUAAGGUUAGACUCGCUAGCCUUAGUAAAACUGAACUAUAUGCGGGAAACUCCUCUUACAGCCGUCUGGUACUCGUCGUUCCCGAGUUCUUAGGGGACGGCAGUCAAAAUCCAGCGGACACGGGGACAAUCCGCAGGGAAGGCUCCAAAAAAUGGAGAACCCUCAGAGACUUCACGUUCAGUCUCGACCCCAAAAACUGGAAGCGCAAUGGGUGGUCGGAUUCGUGGACGGCGAAGGCUGUUUCUUCGUCGGAAUCAAUCGCCACCUGGACAUGACCUGCCGGUUCCAAGUCCUUCCUGAAUUCACAGUGGUACAACACCAGCGAGACAUCCAGUUGCUCUUCGCACUCAAAGAAUUUUUCGGGUGCGGCGUGGUUCGCAGGAACCGCGAAGACCGGAUGGCUUACCGGGUGCGCAGCCUGGACCAUCUGAACCAACGGAUCGUUCCCUUCUUCGAUCAGCACCCGCUGAAAUCCAAGAAGCGGAUUGACUUCGCGAAGUUCAGAAGAGUCCUGCAACUGAUGAGUCGGGGAGAACACUUGAAGCCAGAGGGAAUCCAGCAGAUUCAAGCCAUUGCGUCCAAAAUGAACCGGGGUCGGGAAAGAUAAAGUCCGGCUCCAUCGGAAACGAUGUGGGAUGAACCGAGCGAAAUUCCUUGUCGGGCAAGUUCCGACCUGCACGAAUGGCGUAACGACAGAGCGACUGUCGUAGCGAGUGACUCAGCGAACUUGUAGUACCGGUGAAGAUGCCGGUUACCCGCACCUAGACGGAAAGACCCCGUGCACCUUUACUAUACCCUAGCCCUGAGCUACGGGCUUGUCUGCGCAGGAUAGGUGGGAGGCUUUGAACCUGGGUUCUCGGACCCGGGGGAGCCGACGGUGAGAUACCACCCUGAUGAUUCUGUGGCUCUAACUUCGACCCGUAAUCCGGGUCAGGGACACGGCUAGGCGGG
rnacentral:rRNA from 1 species